rnacentral:rRNA from 1 species
GAGUUUGAUCGUGGCUCAGGACGAACGCUGGCGGCGUGCCUAACACAUGCAAGUCGAACGGGACUUGCCCCUUCGGGGACAAGUUUAGUGGCGAACGGGUGAGUAACGCGUGAGGAACCUGCCUUUCAGUGGGGGACAACAGUUGGAAACGACUGCUAAUACCGCAUAACACUUUGGGAUCGCAUGAUUCUGAAGUCAAAGAUUUAUUGCUGAAAGAUGGCCUCGCGUCUGAUUAGCUAGUUGGCGGGGUAAUGGCCCACCAAGGCGACGAUCAGUAGCCGGCCUGAGAGGGUGAACGGCCACAUUGGGACUGAGACACGGCCCAGACUCCUACGGGAGGCAGCAGUGGGGGAUAUUGCACAAUGGGGGAAACCCUGAUGCAGCGACGCCGCGUGGAGGAAGAAGGUUUUCGGAUUGUAAACUCCUGUCGUUAGGGACGAUAAUGACGGUACCUAACAAGAAGCACCGGCU